rnacentral:rRNA from 1 species
AGCGAACGCUGGCGGCAGGCCUAACACAUGCCAGUCGAACGAACCUUUCGGGGUUAGUGGCGGACGGGUGAGUAACACGUGGGAACGUGCCUUUAGGUUCGGAAUAACUCAGGGAAACUUGUGCUAAUACCGAAGGUGCCCUUCGGGGGAAAGAUUAAUCGCCUUUAGAGCGGCCCGCGUCUGAUUAGCUAGUUGGUUGAGGUAAUGGCUCACCAAGGCGACGAUCAGUAGCUGGUCUGAGAGGAUGAUCAGCCACAUUGGGAGUGAGACACGGCCCAAACUCCUACGGGAGGCAGCAGUGGGGAAUCUUGCGCAAUGGGAGAAAGCCUGACGCAGCCAUGCCGCGUGAAUGAUGAAGGUCUUAGGAUUGUAAAAUUCUUUCACCGGGGACGAUAAUGACGGUACCCGGAGAAGAAGCCCCGGCUAACUUCGUG